UACGUAGGUGGCAAGCGUUGUCCGGAUUUACUGGGCGUAAAGGGCGCGUAGGCGGCCCGCUAAGUCGAACGUGAAAUCCCCGAGCUCAACUCGGGAACUGCGUCCGAUACUGGUGGGCUUGAAUCCGGGAGAGGGAUGCGGAAUUCCAGGUGUAGCGGUGAAAUGCGUAGAUAUCUGGAGGAACACCGGUGGCGAAGGCGGCAUCCUGGACCGGCAUUGACGCUGAGGCGCGAAAGCGUGGGUAGCAAACAGG
rnacentral:rRNA from 1 species